GCUGGGCAUGGUGGUGCAUGCCUGUAGUCUCAGCUACUCAGGAGGCUGAGGUGGGAGGAUCACUAGAGCCCAGGAGGUGGAGGCUGUGGUGAGCUAAGAUCACACCAUUGCACUUCAGCCUGGGCAAUAGAGUGAGAUCCUGUCUCUA
ensembl:misc_RNA Metazoa_SRP Metazoan signal recognition particle RNA